rnacentral:rRNA from 1 species
AUUGAACGCUGGCGGCAUGCCUUACACAUGCAAGUCGAACGGCAGCACGGACUUCGGUCUGGUGGCGAGUGGCGAACGGGUGAGUAAUGUAUCGGAACGUACCUUUCAGUGGGGGAUAACGUAGCGAAGUUACGCUAAUACCGCAUAUUCUGUGAGCAGGAAAGCAGGGGAUCGCAAGACCUUGCGCUGAUUGAGCGGCCGAUAUCAGAUUAGCUAGUUGGUGGGGUAAAGGCCUACCAAGGCUACGAUCUGUAGCGGGUCUGAGAGGAUGAUCCGCCACACUGGAACUGAGACACGGUCCAGACUCCUACGGGAGGCAGCAGUGGGGAAUUUUGGACAAUGGGGGGCAACCCUGAUCCAGCCAUGCCGCGUGAGUGAAGAAGGCCUUCAGGUUGUAAAGCUCUUUCGGUCCGGGAAGAAUACGCAUAGGCUAAUACCCUGUGUGGAUGACGGUACCGGAAUAAGAAGCACCGGCUAACUACGUGCCAGCAGCCGCGGUAA